rnacentral:ncRNA from 1 species
UCAGGUGCUGUCGAUCAGAUAAAAGGGAAGCAAGUGAAAUUCUUGCACGAUCCGGUCACUGUAAUCGGGGAGGAUGCUGCAAAGACCAUUGCGAAAACGAGAAGGUGCAGCAGACGAUGAGCCGUAAGUCAGGAAACCUGCCUGUGAUGAAA